rnacentral:rRNA from 1 species
GAUGAACGCUGGCGGCGUGCCUAAUACAUGCAAGUCGAGCGAACGGACGAGAAGCUUGCUUCUCUGAUGUUAGCGGCGGACGGGUGAGUAACACGUGGAUAACCUACCUAUAAGACUGGGAUAACUUCGGGAAACCGGAGCUAAUACCGGAUAAUAUUUUGAACCGCAUGGUUCAAAAGUGAAAGACGGUCUUGCUGUCACUUAUAGAUGGAUCAGCGCUGCAUUAGCUAGUUGGUAAGGUAACGGCUUACCAAGGCAACGAUGCAUAGCCGACCUGAGAGGGUGAUCGGCCACACUGGAACUGAGACACGGUCCAGACUCCUACGGGAGGCAGCAGUAGGGAAUCUUCCGCAAUGGGCGAAAGCCUGACGGAGCAACGCCGCGUGAGUGAUGAAGGUCUUCGGAUCGUAAAACUCUGUUAAUAGGGAAGAACAUAUGUGUAAGUAACUGUGCACAUCUUGACGGUACCUAAUCAGAAAGCCACGGCUAACUACGUG